rnacentral:rRNA from 1 species
GACGAACGCUGGCGGCGUGCUUAACACAUGCAAGUCGAAGGGAGUGGCGAACGGGUGAGUAACACGUUAGUAACCUGCCCUUUUCUUUGGGAUAAGCCUGGGAAACUGGGUCUAAUACUGGAUGGAUUGGGAUGGGCCCGCGGCUUAUCCGCUUGUUGGUGGGGUGAUGGCUUACCAAGGCUUUGACGGGUAGCCGGCCUGAGAGGGGGGUCGGUGACAGUGGGACUGAGCAAAGGCCCACGCGCGUGAGGGAGGGAGAAGUGGGGGAUAUUGCACAAUGGCUGAAAGAGUGAUGCAGCGACGGCGUGUGGGGGAUGAGGGCCGUAGGAUUGUAAAGUCAUUGCGCCCGCGGAAUGGUAGUGAGUAAAGAAGCGCCGGCUAACUACGUGCCAGCAGCCGCGGUAAUUC